rfam:Triticum aestivum genome assembly, contig: Triticum_aestivum_CS42_TGACv1_scaffold_290391_4AL
CAAAUACUCCCUCCGUCCGGAAAUACUUGUCUUAGGAAUGGUUGUAUCUAGACUUAUUUUAGUUAGUUAUAGAUACAUCCAUCUUCAACCAUUUUUAAGACACGGACGGAGGGAGUAUUAC